AAACCAUGCACCGAAGCUGCGGCAGCGAACGUAUCACUUAAAGCGAUUCAGCGGGUUACGAUUGACGGAGCGAAGCGACGUCAAAGCGUAUACAAAGUCGAGUCGGUUUAAGGAUACGUUCGUUGGGUAGGGGAGCGUUCUGUAAGCCUGCGAAGGUGGCCUGUGAGGGUUGCUGGAGGUAUCAGAAGUGCGAAUGCUGACAUAAGUAACGAUAAAGCGGGUGAAAAGCCCGCUCGCCGGAAGACCAAGGGUUCCUGUCCAACGUUAAUCGGGGCAGGGUGAGUCGACCCCUAAGGCGAGGCCGAAAGGCGUAGUCGAUGGGAAACGGGUUAAUAUUCCCGUACUUGGUGUUACUGCGAAGGGGGGACGGAGAAGGCUAUGUUGGCCGGGCGACGGUUGUCCCGGUUUAAGCGUGUAGGCUGGUUUUCCAGGCAAAUCCGGAAAAUCAAGGCUGAGGCGUGACGACGAGGCACUACGGUGCUGAAGCAACAAAUGCCCUGCUUCCAGGAAAAGCCUCUAAGCAUCAGGUAACACGAAAUCGUACCCCAAACCGACACAGGUGGUCAGGUAGAGAAUACCAAGGCGCUUGAGAGAACUCGGGUGAAGGAACUAGGCAAAAUGGUGCCGUAACUUCGGGAGAAGGCACGCUGACACGUAGGUGAAGUGAUUUACUCAUGGAGCUGAAGUCAGUCGAAGAUACCAGCUGGCUGCAACUGUUUAUUAAAAACACAGCACUGUGCAAACACGAAAGUGGACGUAUACGGUGUGACGCCUGCCCGGUGCCGGAAGGUUAAUUGAUGGGGUCAGCGCAAGCGAAGCUCCUGAUCGAAGCCCCGGUAAACGGCGGCCGUAACUAUAACGGUCCUAAGGUAGCGAAAUUCCUUGUCGGGUAAGUUCCGACCUGCACGAAUGGCGUAAUGAUGGCCAGGCUGUCUCCACCCGAGACUCAGUGAAAUUGAACUCGCUGUGAAGAUGCAGUGUACCCGCGGCAAGACGGAAAGACCCCGUGAACCUUUACUAUAGCUUGACACUGAACAUUGAGCCUUGAUGUGUAGGAUAGGUGGGAGGCUUUGAAGCGUGGACGCCAGUCUGCGUGGAGCCGACCUUGAAAUACCACCCUUUAAUGUUUGAUGUUCUAACGUGGACCCGUUACCCGGGUUGCGGACAGUGUCUGGUGGGUAGUUUGACUGGGGCGGUCUCCUCCUAAAGAGUAACGGAGGAGCACGAAGGUUGGCUAAUCCUGGUCGGACAUCAGGAGGUUAGUGCAAUGGCAUAAGCCAGCUUGACUGCGAGCGUGACGGCGCGAGCAGGUGCGAAAGCAGGUCAUAGUGAUCCGGUGGUUCUGAAUGGAAGGGCCAUCGCUCAACGGAUAAAAGGUACUCCGGGGAUAACAGGCUGAUACCGCCCAAGAGUUCAUAUCGACGGCGGUGUUUGGCACCUCGAUGUCGGCUCAUCACAUCCUGGGGCUGAAGUAGGUCCCAAGGGUAUGGCUGUUCGCCAUUUAAAGUGGUACGCGAGCUGGGUUUAGAACGUCGUGAGACAGUUCGGUCCCUAUCUGCCGUGGGCGCUGGAGAACUGAGGGGGGCUGCUCCUAGUACGAGAGGACCGGAGUGGACGCAUCACUGGUGUUCGGGUUGUCAUGCCAAUGGCACUGCCCGGUAGCUAAAUGCGGAAGAGAUAAGUGCUGAAAGCAUCUAAGCACGAAACUUGCCCCGAGAUGAGUUCUCCCUGAGACUUAGAGUCUCCUGAAGGAACGUUGAAGACGACGACGUUGAUAGGCCGGGUGUGUAAGCGCAGCGAUGCGUUGAGCUAACCGGUACUAAUGAACCGUGAGGCUUAACCUUAC
rnacentral:rRNA from 1 species